ACGCUGCGGCAUGCCUUACACAUGCAAGUCGAACGGUAACACGGUUAAGCUGACGAGUGGCGAACGGGUGAGUAAUGUAUCGGAACGUGCCCAGUCGUGGGGGAUAACUGCUCGAAAGAGCAGCUAAUACCGCAUACGACCUGAGGGUGAAAGCGGGGGAUCGCAAGACCUCGCGCGAUUGGAGCGGCCGAUAUCAGAUUAGGUAGUUGGUGGGGUAAAGGCUCACCAAGCCAACGAUCUGUAGCUGGUCUGAGAGGACGACCAGCCACACUGGGACUGAGACACGGCCCAGACUCCUACGGGAGGCAGCAGUGGGGAAUUUUGGACAAUGGGCGCAAGCCUGAUCCAGCCAUGCCGCGUGCGGGAAGAAGGCCUUCGGGUUGUAAACCGCUUUUGUCAGGGAAGAAAAGGUUCUGCCUAAUACCUGGGACUCAUGACGGUACCUGA
rnacentral:rRNA from 1 species